GAUGAACGCUAGCGGCAGGCUUAACACAUGCAAGUCGAGGGGUAACAGGGAGAAGCUUGCUUUUCCGCUGACGACCGGCGCACGGGUGCGUAACGCGUAUAGAACCUACCUUUUACAGAGGAAUAGCCCAGAGAAAUUUGGAUUAAUGCCUCAUAGUAUUAUAGAAUGGCAUCAUUUUAUAAUUAAACAUUUAUGGGUAAAAGAUGGCUAUGCGUUCUAUUAGCUAGUUGGUAAGGUAACGGCUUACCAAGGCUACGAUAGAUAGGGGUCCUGAGAGGGAGAUCCCCCACACUGGUACUGAGACACGGACCAGACUCCUACGGGAGGCAGCAGUGAGGAAUAUUGGACAAUGGAGGCAACUCUGAUCCAGCCAUGCCGCGUGCAGGAAGACGGCCCUAUGGGUUGUAAACUGCUUUUAUAUAGGAAGAAACCUUUCCACGUGUGGAAAGCUGACGGUACUAUAAGAAUAAGCACCGGCUAACUCCGUGCCAGCAGCCGCGGUAAUACGGAGGGUGCAAGCGUUAUCCGGAAUCAUUGGGUUUAAAGGGUCCGUAGGCGGACUAAUAAGUCAGGGGUGAAAUCCAACAGCUUAACUGUUGAACUGCCUUUGAUACUGUUAGUCUUGAAUUAUAUGGAAGUAGAUAGAAUGUGUAGUGUAGCGGUGAAAUGCUUAGAGAUUACACAGAAUACCGAUUGCGAAGGCAGUCUACUACGUAUAUAUG
rnacentral:rRNA from 1 species